ACCUUCUUGUUAAAAGAACUCUGUUAAAAUUACAGUUCUUGGAUUUCCAGGUCUUGUAAUGAUGCUAGCAGGGUAAAAACAGGAAGUAGAAUAAAUGCACUUACGGUCUUUUAGACAUGGGUGGACCUCUUUCUUAAUGUCCAGUACCCAUUGUCUGAAAGAUUUGGUGCCACAGAC